GACGAACGCUGGCGGCGUGCUUAACACAUGCAAGUCGAACGGAAAGGCCCUGCUUUUGUGGGGUGCUCGAGUGGCGAACGGGUGAGUAACACGUGAGUAACCUGCCCUUGACUUUGGGAUAACUUCAGGAAACUGGGGCUAAUACCGGAUAGGAGCUCCUGCUGCAUGGUGGGGGUUGGAAAGUUUCGGCGGUUGGGGAUGGACUCGCGGCUUAUCAGCUUGUUGGUGGGGUAGUGGCUUACCAAGGCUUUGACGGGUAGCCGGCCUGAGAGGGUGACCGGGCAGAGUGGGACGGAGAUACGGACCAGACGGCUACGGGAGGCAGCAGUGGGGAAUAGGGCACAAUGGGCGGAAGCAUGAGGCAGCAACGACGCGGGCGGGAGGACGGCCUUAGGGUUGGAAACCGAGUUCGCCUGGGAAGAAGCGUGAGUGACGGUAAUGGGUAAAGAAGCAACGGCUAACUACGUG
rnacentral:rRNA from 1 species